rnacentral:rRNA from 1 species
CCCUUAGAUGUUCUGGGCUGCACGCGCGCUACACUGACAGAGCCAACGAGUUCUUCACCUUGGCCGGAAGGUCUGGGUAAUCUUGUUAAACUCUGUCGUGCUGGGGAUAGAGCAUUGCAAUUAUUGCUCUUCAACGAGGAAUGCCUAGUAAACGCAAGUCAUCAGCUUGCAUUGAUUACGUCCCUGCCCUUUGUACACACCGCCCGUCGCUCCUACCGAUUGAAUGAUCCGAUGAAUAUCAUGGAUUGAGGAUGCAAGCAGGUUCGCCUGUCUUCAUCUUCGAGAAGUGAAGUAAAUCUUAUCAUUUAGAGGAAGGAGAAGUCGUAACA